AUUUAAAUAGCUUAUAGCUAGAGCAUGAUACUGAAGAUAUCAAGGAAGUUAUUUUAACUUUUAAGUA
rnacentral:tRNA from 1 species